rnacentral:rRNA from 1 species
GAUCCUGCCAGUAGUCAUAUGCUUGUCUCAAAGAUUAAGCCAUGCAUGUCUCAGUACAAACCAAAUUAAGGUGAAACCGCGAAAGGCUCAUUAAAUCAGUUAUGGUUCCUUAGAUCGUACCCACAUUUACUUGGAUAACUGUGGUAAUUCUAGAGCUAAUACAUGCAAACAGAUCCCCGACCGGAGACGGAAGGGGUGCUUUUAUUAGAUCAAAACCAAUCGGCGGCAGUGGCGUUUCGGCGUUGCUGUUCGUCGCACUGUUUGGUGAUUCUGAAUAACUUUUGGCUGAUCGCACGGUCUUGCACCGGCGACGCAUCUUUCAAAUGUCUGCCUUAUCAACUGUCGAUGGUAGGUUCUGCGCCUACCAUGGUUGUAACGGGUAACGGGGAAUCAGGGUUCGAUUCCGGAGAGGGAGCCUGAGAAACGGCUACCACAUCCAAGGAAGGCAGCAGGCGCGCAAAUUACCCACUCCCGGCACGGGGAGGUAGUGACGAAAAAUAACGAUACGGGACUCAUCCGAGGCCCCGUAAUCGGAAUGAGUACACUUUAAAUCCUUUAACAAGGAUCAAUUGGAGGGUAAGUCUGGUGCCAGCAGCCGCGGUAACUCCAGCUCCAAUAGCGUAUAU